rnacentral:rRNA from 1 species
CCUACGGGUGGCAGCAGUGAGGAAUAUUGGUCAAUGGUCGGGAGACUGAACCAGCCAAGCCGCGUGAGGGAGGAAGGUACAGAGUAUCGUAAACCUCUUUUGUCAGGGAACAAAGGCGGGGACGUGUCCCCGGAUGAGUGUACCUGAAGAAAAAGAAUCGGCUAACUCCGUGCCAGCAGCCGCGGUAAUACGGAGGAUGCGAGCGUUAUCCGGAUUUAUUGGGUUAAAAGGGUGCGCAGGCGGCCUGUUAAGUCAGCGGUAAAAGCCCGGGGCUCAACCCCGGCCCGCCGUUGAAACUGGCAGUCUCGAGUUGGAGAGAAGUAUGCGGAAUGCGCGGUGUAGCGGUGAAAUGCAUAGAUAUCGCGCAGAACUCCGAUUGCGAAGGCAGCAUGCCGGCUCCACACUGACGCUGAGGCACGAAAGCGUGGGUAUCGAACAGGAUUAGAUACCCCUGUAGUC